UUUGAUCCUCGGCUCAGAGCGAACGCUGGCGGCAGGCCUAACACAUGCAAGUCGAACGGAUCCUUCGGGAUUAGUGGCGGACGGGUGAGUAACACGUGGGAACGUNCCCUUNGGUUCGGAACAACNCAGGGAAACUUGNGCUAAUACCGGAUGNGCCCUUCGGGGGAAAGAUUUAUCGCCNUUGGAGCGGCCCGCGUCUGAUUAGCUAGUUGGUGANGUAANGGCUCACCAAGGCGACGAUCAGUAGCUGGUCUGAGAGGAUGNNCAGCCACANUGGGACUGAGACACGGCCCANACUCCUACGGGAGGCAGCAGUGGGGAAUCUUGCGCAAUGGGCGAAAGCCUGACGCAGCCAUGCCGCGUGNAUGAUGAAGGUCUUAGGAUUGUAAAAUUCUUUCACCGGGGACGAUAAUGACGGUACCCGGAGAAGAAGCCCCGGCUAACUUCGUGCCAGCAGCCGCGGUA
rnacentral:rRNA from 1 species